AUGGGCUGGGUGCAGGACCCUCAUAUUCAAGAGCUGCUUCUCAAGCAGACGGAUAACGCAAGAGCUGCCGCCCGAGAGAAAGCCAAGCUGGAUCAACUGGAGAUAGACGCGGUUACUCCAUUGUAUGAAGGAUGCAGGCCCGAGGAUACCCGCCUGAAAGUAACGCUCAUGACUCUAGAGAUGAAGGUAAAACACAAAAUGACCGACGCAUGCUUCGACGAGAACAUGUCAUUCUGGCACGAACGUCUUCCCAAGGGGAACAAGUGCCCGACCAGUUUCGAGGAGGCGAAGAAAAUCGUGUGUCCUCUGGAUUUACCGCACGUGAAAUACCAUGUGUGCAUGAACAAUUGCAUCAUUUAUCAGGACGAGCACGCGGAGUCUACCAUAUGUCUGGUGUGCGGCGUCACUCGAUACAAGAAGAGGAAGAAAGCUCCUCGAAAAGUGGUGUGGUACUUUCCGAUCACUCCUCGUCUGCAGCGGUAUUUCGCGGACCCUAAGGUAGCAAAGCUCUUGCUUUGGCACGCGGAUAGGGAGGAGAAGAAGCGAGAAGAUGACGCAAAUAAUCCGGAGAUAAAUAAAAAAUACAAGAUGCUGAGUCACCCUAAGGAUGGGAGCCAGUGGCAAGCGUUGAACUUCGAACACCCAGAAUUUGGGAACGAUCCAAGGAACAUCGUGCUGGGCACGAGCACCGAUGGAGUCAAUCCGUUUGGCAUCCAGAGAAGCACACAUAGCACCUGGCCUGUGUUUGUGUGGAUGUACAACCUUCCCCCCUGGUUGUGCAUGAAGAGGAAGUACAUUCACAUGAGUAUGCUAAUUGAAGGGCCGAAACAACCAGGGAACGACAUCAAUAUGUAUCUGGGGCUGCUGAAAGAGGAGCUAGACACGCUGUGGAAAACGCCAGCCAAUACGCGGGACGCCGCAGAGAAAGAAUAUUUCCCUAUGAGAGCCGCACUGCUCACGACGGUGCACGACUAUCUCGGUUACGGAUAUGUCGCGGGGCAGGUGGUCCACGGAUUUUCUGGAUGCGUCAGGUGCAUGGAUGACACAACGUAUCGCCAGCUAGAUAGAGAUCCCGGGUCUUCGAAAACCAUGUUCAUGGGACAUCGAAGGUGGCUUCGCGAUGAUGACUCAUGGAGGAAACGCAAGGAUCUGUUCGAUGGUGAAACCGAAACCCGAAGAUGCCCGCGUACGAGGAGCGGCAAGGAAAUAGACGAGCUAUUGAAAAAUUAG
rnacentral:rRNA from 1 species